CAUAUUAAAAACUAACAAGGUUGUUAUGUUGUGUACUCUCCACACAUCUACGGAAGUGUCAGAAGAAGUGCAUCGACAGCCAUUUUUGAUCCUACAAUACAAUAAUAAAAAGUUUAGUGUAGAUACAUUGACCAACUAGCUCAUGCAUACACAACAUGGCGAAAGACACUGUGUUGGCCAAUGACUUUGUUGGGCCAUCUCCUCAAUCUUGCUGUCAUUAACACCAGUAUUUUGUUCCUCUUUAACAAGCCACAGUGGGAAAGUGAUCAUGGCGUGAUCAUUUGCAUCAUUAAUUUGCUCAUCGUUUUUUUUUUUUGUGAACUAUCCAGGCAAUGUUUGCUUUGGAAUGCCAAAUUUUUUUAAUAUGGAUAUUUUUAUAGUCUAUAUAUAUUUUUUUUAUAUAAUUAGUUUUUAUAGUUUUGUAUUUUUUAUAGUAUACUUUUUGUAUUUUUA